CCGUCUUGAAACACGGACCAAGGAGUCUAGCAUGUACGCGAGUCAUUGGGUAUAUGUUAAACCUUAAAGGCACAAUGAAAGUGAAGGUUCGCCGUCGUGCGGACAGAGGGAGGAUGCGCGCGUUUAGGCGCGACGUCGCACUCCCGGGGCGUCUCGUUCUCAUUACGAGGAGAGGCGCACCUAGAGCGAACACGCUGGGACCCGAAAGAUGGUGAACUAUGCCUGGUCAGGACGAAGUCAGGGGAAACCCUGAUGGAGGUCCGUAGCGAUUCUGACGUGCAAAUCGAUCGUCGGAACUGGGUAUAGGGGCGAAAGACUAAUCGAACCAUCUAGUAGCUGGUUCCCUCCGAAGUUUCCCUCAGGAUAGCUGGCGCUCGCUGUUGCGAGUUUCAUCCGGUAAAGCGAAUGAUUAGAGGCAUUGGGGUCGAAACGGCCUCAACCUAUUCUCAAACUUUAAAUGGGUGAGAUCUCCGGCUUGCUUGAAAAAUCAGUGAAGCCGCGAGAUUUCGGAUCAGAGUGCCAAGUGGGCCAUUUUUGGUAAGCAGAACUGGCGCUGUGGGAUGAACCAAACGCAGAGUUAAAGCGCCUAAAUCGACGCUUAUGGGAUACCAUGAAAGGCGUUGGUAACUUAAGACAGCAGGACGGUGGCCAUGGAAGUCGGAAUCCGCUAAGGAGUG
rnacentral:rRNA from 1 species